rnacentral:rRNA from 1 species
CAAUAGCGUAUAUUAAAGUUGUUGCAGUUAAAAGCUCGUAGUUGGAUUUCUGGCUGGAGCGAUCGGUCCGCCCCGCAAGGGGUGUGUACUAGCGUCGUCUCCGACCAUCCUUGUGGGAACUGUGCGGCCGUUAACUCGGUUGUAUAUGGGAACACAUCGUUUACUGUGAAAAAUUAGAGUGUUUAAAGCAGGCUUAAGCCGUUGAAUACAUUAGCAUGGAAUAAUAAUCUAGGACUUCGGUUCUAUUUUGUUUGGUUUCUUAGAUCUGAAGUAAUGAUUGAUAGGGAUAGUUGGGGGUGGCUAGUAUUAAGGGGCCGAGAGGUGAAAUUACUUGGAUUCUCUUAAGACUAACUUAUGCGAAAGCAUUCACCAAGGAUGUCUUCUUUAAUUCAAGAACGAAAGUUGGGGGAGUCGAAGACGAUCAGAUACCAU